rnacentral:rRNA from 1 species
GUAGCAGGGGGAUAAGCGGAAGAAAUUCAGUGUAAUACCGAGUAACAACCCUGGGAGGCAUCUCCUUGAGUUUAAAGGAAGCGAUUCAGGCUACGGAUGGUCAUGCGUGUCAUUAGCUUGUUGGCGGGGUAUCGGCCCACCAAGGCGACGAUGCGUAGGGGUUCUGAGAGGAAGGUCCCCCACACUGGUAAUGAGACACGGACCAGACUCUUACGGGAGGCAGCAGUGAGGAAUAUUGGUCAAUGGCCGCAGGGGCGAACCAGCCAAGUCGCGUGAGGGAUGUCGGUCCUGUGGAUUGUAAACCUCUUUUGUCAGGGAGCAAAGGGCGUCACGUGUGGCGCUUUGCGAGUACAUGAAGAAAAAGCAUAUGCUAACUCUGUGCCAGCAGCCGCGGUAACACGGAGGAUGCGAGCGUUAUCUGGAUUUAUUGGGUUUAAAGGGUGCGCAGGGGGAAUGUCAAGUCUGCGGUAAAAUUUUGGGGCUCAACCCCGUUGUGCCGUUGAAACUGGCGUUCUUGAGUGAGCGAGAAGUAUGCGGAAUGCGUGGUGUAGCGGUGAAAUGCAUAGAUAUCACGCAGAACUCCGAUUGGGAAGGCAGUCUACCGGCGCUCAACUGACGCUCAUGCCCGAAAGCGUGGGUAUUGAACAGGAUUAGAUACCCUGGUAGUCCACGCAGUAAACGAUGAAUACUCACUGUCCGGGCCGAUUGAGGUCUGGGGGGUACAGGGAAAGCGUUAAGUAUUCCACCUGGGGAGUACGCCGGCAACGGUGAAACUCAAAGGAAUUGACGGGGGCCCGCACAAGCGGAGGAACAUGUGGUUUAAUUCGAUGAUACGCGAGGAACCUUACCCGGGCUCAAACGACGGAUGGAUGUUUUUGAAAGAAGGCAGCCCUUCGGGGCAUCCGUCGAGGUGCUGCAUGGUUGUCGUCAGCUCGUGCCGUGAGGUGUCGGCUUAAGUGCCAUAACGAGCGCAACCCCCAUCGCCAGUUACCAGCAAGUAAAGUUGGGGACUCUGGCGAGACUGCCGGCGCAAGCUGUGAGGAAGGCGGGGAUGACGUCAAAUCAGCACGGCCCUUACGUCCGGGGCGACACACGUGUUACAAUGGCAGGUACAGAGAGAAGCGAUGCGGCGACGCAGAGCGGAACUUCAAAGCCUGUCUCAGUUCGGAUUGGAGUCUGCAACCCGACUCCAUGAAGCUGGAUUCGCUAGUAAUCGCGCAUCAGCCACGGCGCGGUGAAUACGUUCCCGGGCCUUGUACUCACCGCCCGUCAAG